AAUGUCAUCUUGUCUAUGGUCACACCAGUCUCCUCUGAUCUUGGAAGCUAAGCAGGGUCAGGCCUGGUUAGUACUUGGAUGAGAGAAAAAGUAAUCAAAGGGAAUAAAACAGUA
rnacentral:rRNA from 1 species